rnacentral:rRNA from 1 species
AUUGAACGCUGGCGGCAGGCCUAACACAUGCAAGUCGAGCGGAUGAAGGGAGCUUGCUCCUGGAUUCAGCGGCGGACGGGUGAGUAAUGCCUAGGAAUCUGCCUGGUAGUGGGGGAUAACGUCCGGAAACGGGCGCUAAUACCGCAUACGUCCUGAGGGAGAAAGUGGGGGAUCUUCGGACCUCACGCUAUCAGAUGAGCCUAGGUCGGAUUAGCUAGUUGGUGGGGUAAAGGCCUACCAAGGCGACGAUCCGUAACUGGUCUGAGAGGAUGAUCAGUCACACUGGAACUGAGACACGGUCCAGACUCCUACGGGAGGCAGCAGUGGGGAAUAUUGGUCAAUGGGCGAAAGCCUGAUCCAGCCAUGCCGCGUGUGUGAAGAAGGUCUUCGGAUUGUAAAGCACUUUAAGUUGGGAGGAAGGGCAGUAAGUUAAUACCUUGCAGUUUUGACGUUACCAACAGAAUAAGCACCGGCUAACUUCGUG